UACAGAGGUCUCAAGCGUUGUUCGGAUUCAUUGGGCGUAAAGGGUGUGUAGGUGGCGCGCUAAGUCGGGUGUGAAAUUUCGGAGCUUAACUCCGAAACUGCAUUUGAUACUGCCUUGCUUGAGGACUGGAGAGGAGACUGGAAUUCACGGUGUAGCAGUGAAAUGCGUAGAGAUCGGGAGGAACACCGGUGGCGAAGGCGGGUCUCUGGACAGUUCCUGACGCUGAGGCACGAAGGCCAGGGGAGCAAACGGG
rnacentral:rRNA from 1 species